AGAGUUUGAUCCUGGCUCAGGAUGAACGCUAGCUACAGGCUUAACACAUGCAAGUCGAGGGGCAGCAUGGUCUUAGCUUGCUAAGGCCGAUGGCGACCGGCGCACGGGUGAGUAACACGUAUCCAACCUGCCGUCUACUCUUGGACAGCCUUCUGAAAGGAAGAUUAAUACAAGAUGGCAUCAUGAGUCCGCAUGUUCACAUGAUUAAAGGUAUUCCGGUAGACGAUGGGGAUGCGUUCCAUUAGAUAGUAGGCGGGGUAACGGCCCACCUAGUCUUCGAUGGAUAGGGGUUCUGAGAGGAAGGUCCCCCACAUUGGAACUGAGACACGGUCCAAACUCCUACGGGAGGCAGCAGUGAGGAAUAUUGGUCAAUGGGCGCAGGCCUGAACCAGCCAAGUAGCGUGAAGGAUGACUGCCCUAUGGGUUGUAAACUUCUUUUAUAAAGGAAUAAAGUCGGGUAUGCAUACCCGUUUGCAUGUACUUUAUGAAUAAGGAUCGGCUAACUCCGUGCCAGCAGCCGCGGUAAUACGGAGGAUCCGAGCGUUAUCCGGAUUUAUUGGGUUUAAAGGGAGCGUAGAUGGAUGUUUAAGUCAGUUGUGAAAGUUUGCGGCUCAACCGUAAAAUUGCAGUUGAUACUGGAUAUCUUGAGUGCAGUUGAGGCAGGCGGAAUUCGUGGUGUAGCGGUGAAAUGCUUAGAUAUCACGAAGAACUCCGAUUGCGAAGGCAGCCUGCUAAGCUGCAACUGACAUUGAGGCUCGAAAGUGUGGGUAUCAAACAGGAUUAGAUACCCUGGUAGUCCACACGGUAAACGAUGAAUACUCGCUGUUUGCGAUAUACAGCAAGCGGCCAAGCGAAAGCGUUAAGUAUUCCACCUGGGGAGUACGCCGGCAACGGUGAAACUCAAAGGAAUUGACGGGGGCCCGCACAAGCGGAGGAACAUGUGGUUUAAUUCGAUGAUACGCGAGGAACCUUACCCGGGCUUAAAUUGCAGAUGAAUUACGGUGAAAGCCGUAAGCCGCAAGGCAUCUGUGAAGGUGCUGCAUGGUUGUCGUCAGCUCGUGCCGUGAGGUGUCGGCUUAAGUGCCAUAACGAGCGCAACCCUUGUUGUCAGUUACUAACAGGUUCCGCUGAGGACUCUGACAAGACUGCCAUCGUAAGAUGUGAGGAAGGUGGGGAUGACGUCAAAUCAGCACGGCCCUUACGUCCGGGGCUACACACGUGUUACAAUGGGGGGUACAGAGGGCCGCUACCACGCGAGUGGAUGCCAAUCCCCAAAACCUCUCUCAGUUCGGACUGGAGUCUGCAACCCGACUCCACGAAGCUGGAUUCGCUAGUAAUCGCGCAUCAGCCACGGCGCGGUGAAUACGUUCCCGGGCCUUGCACACACCGCCCGUCA
rnacentral:rRNA from 1 species